GAAGAGCUUUCUCCAUCUCUCCUAAGUCCCCUCCUCAGAGGUGACAGAGUUGGCGUAUGUGUUACAUCUCAUUCUAAAGUCCUCUGCAGCAGAAUGCCAGCUCGACGAGACAAGAUGGUUGUUCUGUCCCCCAUGUCUGGCUGGAAUGUGGCACCUACUGGAGGCUCUUUAAGGCUUGGGGAUUAUGUGGAGGGCUUGGGUAAAGUGGGUGAGCAUCUGCCCUCACACAGAGCCAAGCACACUCCAGUCUUGCCAGUCUGACUAUAUGGUACCCUCCAGCAUUCCUAUGAAUGAAGUACCUCAAUGAAGGAGGCCUUGCAUGAGAUGCACCAGACCCUCCCAAGGCUGGAAGGUAAGAUCAACACCCAUGAGUGCCCAGGCAGCAUAUGACAGACUCAGAAGGUUCUCUAGAGGACCACAGGUUGGCUACAGGUCUGUAGACACGCUACCUCUCCACUCACCGGCUCCCCAUCUAUGCACGGGUUUUGCGGUCCUCUGCCAGUCUCACCUGGGUAUCUAGACCUGCUUAGGCACAAUCUGUUUAAGACCAUUUGCCUUCCUGGAAGAGUGGCCGUCCCUGCAGCCCAAUGCCACAUAGCAUCUGGAUAUCCUAUUGCCCACGGCCUCAGCUGGGCCAGCCCUGGGCACAUAUGUGUCUCCGCCCAGGUGGAGCCUUCACGCUUGCCUUUCUAGGUGCUGUUUUUCAUGCCUGGCUGACAUCAGCUGGGUGUGCUUAAGCAGCCUGGAGUUUGAGAAGGCCUUGCUGCCUGGCUGGUGAGGACUCCUUCCUGACGGGCCCCACCCAGAGGAUCGUGUCACUCAAAGGAGGGGCUCAGUGCCAGCAUCUUCGUCUCAACAUCUGCUUCAAGGAGCCCUCUUCCGAGACAGUCAAUUAGUCUUCCAAACAGAUUCAAAAGGGGACUGAGAGUCAUACCUACCUAAGGUGGAGCUCAGAGACGCAAAACACUGACCAAAGGUCCCAAGACCUGAACUUGAACAUGUUCUACAACUGCUGCUACACCCUCCUGGUAAACCUGACAAAAUAAUCUUGGACUGUGAAGCUUUCUGUGACCCAGAGCCACCACAUUUCCCUGACCUGUGAGGCUAUCUGGAAGGGACCUAUUGUUUCUCCUAUCCCCUGUGGACUUUCCCCUGCUGUUACCUGUGACAAAGCCUUCGUUAUGCCACGCUGACAGCAUUUGGAGCACUGCAACUAUAAUACAACGUUGGCCUAGAGAAGAAGCCAUUUCAGACUCCUUUGUGGGCUGCAGAUGAGGAGAACGGCUGGCUCACAUCAUUUACUAACUGGGUCAUGCCAGCCCUUGACCAUGCUCCCAAAGGCCCUGCCUGGCACCGUGUCAGCCAGUCCUGUCUGUGCCUCGGGUUUAUGAGGAGGUAUUCCCUCCUCGAUAACAAUGUUCAGAAGGAGCUAAGUCGGGGCGGGUGGGCAGACCCAGAAUCCCCGCCUACAAGAGUGGCAUUUUCCCCUUAAGUCCUUGCAGAAUGAGUCUAUGUGGCUUCCCUACUAUGGCUUGGGUACUUGUGGCAUUGUUGAAAUGCCAAGCAGGGCUGGCACCCCUGCUUCCAGUAGCCCAACAGCCACUGCCCUCUUGGCAGCCCUGAGCUAUGUGCUGAGCAGGUGGCCCUUCCCACUCAAUCUGAGUCCAAGAAUGUUGUCAUCCGGUUGCCCAGGGCCUUUAUCAGUGUAGCCUUUCUUACGGUGGCUGGGACAAAGGGUGUGGGUGUCCUCAGGACUCUGGGGGAUUCUGGGAAUGUAUCUUUGCCUCCCCAAAAUUCCAGCUGUCCUAGCUGUAUGGAAUUCUCAUCCAUCUUGCUGAAGAGAUUUGAGACCUGUAGUGGGGGCAGGAUACAGUUCAGUUCCUAAGUGUUUUGUUAGACUUACUUAGAGUCUUCUUACCAUUUCUGAGUCAUGCAAUGAGAAGAAAGUUCUAGAUUACUACUCAGACGCCUAAGAGCUGGGUAUACAGCAUCAAGAGAUAGAGCGGCUUGGUAAGAGGACUGUGUCCUUCAAGCCUCAACCCUUUCUGACAAAGGUACCUUGUUGGAAAGCAGACCUGUUUUUACAAAGAUUCAAUCAAUUAAUCAAUAAAUUUAAAAAAUUUUUAAAUGUAUUUCUACAAGGAAACUAGUGAUAUUCAAAUGUUGGCGAUGAAUUCAAUUUUUAAAAAAAUUGAAAUUGUCUGCCAGAUUCAGCACAUGUGCUGACCAGAUGCAGGCUGGGGAUCACUACGUUAUGGCCCUGGCUCUCAGCCUGACUCUACAAAAGGGUACAGCCAGCCCACAUCUGAACCUAGGAACCACAGCCCCUCAUCUAGUGGUGGUGCAGCCUCGGGCUGGAGGUGACAGAACAUGGGUAAGCAGUUGAGGUCAGGCUUUGGCCUCCACUUGCCCAGACUUGUUAGUGAGAACUCCAAGGACUGUCUAGUUUCAGUGUAGGAACACCCACAGUGGUUAAACAAGCCAGCCGGGGAGCAGGAGGAAGGAGCUGAGAUCAGAGCAAGGAGUCCGCCCCAAGUCAUGCCAAACAGCCUGGGAGCAGGGUACACGCAGAGAUAGAUGGACAGUGGACGUAGCUCAGCCCCGUUUGUUCUGCCUCUCACGCUUUAAUGCUACAAAGUCUUACCAUCAUCAGCUCAUGUCUGGAGUCAGAGAGACCUGGAGGUAGGGAGUGACCAAACACUGCAGUCCUUAAGUGUUUGGGGGACUGGUUGGAGGGCCUAUGCAGACGCUCAAACUUACAGACGCUCAAGGCCCGAUGCACAUGCUCUCCCGGACUUCAAAGUUUGCCUAGAUUGCACAUAGCACCCAGCACAAUGUAAUCGUGCAAAUCGCUAUAUUAUUUAGGAUG